UCGGGUAAUCAUCGGUCUGUCUGAACCGAACUGCAGUGCAGAGCCGGAAUGGGGGGCUUGGCCCCGGUCCAGCACGGUCAAAAUUAGCUCUCUGUUGAAUUACAUGCAGUCAGCCAGUGGAAGCGGCUGAGCUCCAGUCCGGCAGCCUUGUAUGGGGAGUCCAAACCCCGCAAGGCUGCCGCUCGGCUCCGCGUUCGUCCACAGACGCCUUUUCCAGCAGCAACUUUACAGCGACAGGACAAGAACAAAGGCUUCACCAGUCCCGUUUUCAGGAUGACGUCGACUGGAGCAAUGGGGGAUCCCAUUAGAGUCGACAGCUGUGUUCCUGAACCCGCCGGAGCACAGAGGAACGUCCACCAGACAUCCACAUUCCCUCUGUCUGAUGCUGGAUAAAGAACGGCCCUCAGGAGGGGGGGGAAGCGUAUUCUCCGUGUAUAUUGUUUUUUAUUUCCUAAAAUCAUGUAUAUCCUUAUUUUGUAUGGUUCUGGCGUGCGGUACAGGUGAAAUAUGAUGCUGGGGCUCUUCCCUCAUCUAUGUGAUUAAUAACAUUUAGACAAAACCUGGGACUCUAAGCCUUGAUGAUAUGCUCUUCAGAGGGAACGGCAGUAAAGACACAAAAGCACCUCAAGACAGACCUGACAGACUGGAGCUUCACAUGUCUGUGUUUGCAAACUGCGGGGGUCCGGGACCCUCGUGGCGGCGGCAGCAGCACGUCUUCCACUUGUCCACUUCUACUUUGCACGGCUGGACUCUUUCAUACCUCUGUGAAAAAACACAAAACAAAAAAAAUAAUAAUCAUCCACCGGUGUUUAACAGUGUUCAUGCGGUAAUGAUGCGAUGUGGGAAACUCGAGCAGUGUUUUCUUUAGGAGGCCGAUUCCAGUGUCAGGGUUCCCAUAGAAAUGUUAAUCGAUUCUUAAAAUGAGCAUUUAUAGAUCUGGUAUGGUCACGGAAUUUAUUAGAUUUGCAUAAGGAGUCAUGAAAAGUGCACUUGAUUGGGAGCUUUUCUUUCUGAGUUUGUGCUGCUCUCAGUUAUUUAAUCAGCGUGACGCUAGAUUUGUUUCAAAUACAAAAAAAAAUUGUAUUAAAUCAA